AUUGAACGCUGGCGGCAGGCUUAACACAUGCAAGUCGAGCGGAGAUGAGGUGCUUGCACCUUAUCUUAGCGGCGGACGGGUGAGUAAUGCUUAGGAAUCUGCCUAUUAGUGGGGGACAACAUUCCGAAAGGAAUGCUAAUACCGCAUACGUCCUACGGGAGAAAGCAGGGGAUCUUCGGACCUUGCGCUGAUAGAUGAGCCUAAGUCGGAUUAGCUAGUUGGUGGGGUAAAGGACUCCCAAGGCGACGAUCUGUAGCGGGUCUGAGAGGAUGAGCCGCCACACUGGGACUGAGACACGGGCCAGACUCCUACGGGAGGCAGCAGUGGGGAAUAUUGGACAAUGGGGGGAACCCUUGUCCAGCCAUGCCGCGUGUGUGAAGAAGGCCUUAUGGUUGUAAAGCACUUUAAGCGAGGAGGAGGCUACUGAGACUAAUACUCUUGGAUAGUGGACGUUACUCGCAGAAUAAGCACCGGCUAACUCUGUGCCAGCCGCCGCGGUAAGAC
rnacentral:rRNA from 1 species